rnacentral:rRNA from 1 species
AUGGAUGCCAUGCAAGCACAGCAAGGUAAUGGUGGCACGAGCCCUAGGCAGAGCUCGUGCAUUGUGAACGGCCCCAUCAUCGUCGGCGCCGGCCCGUCGGGCCUCGCCGUGGCCGCCACCCUUCGCCGGCACUCGGUGCCCUUCACCAUCCUCGAGCGCUCCGACGGCAUCGCCGACCUCUGGACGAACCGCACGUACGGCCGCCUCCGCCUGCACCUCCCCAAGGUCUUCUGCGAGCUCCCCCACGUCCGCUUCCCGCCGGAGUUCCCCACCUACCCGAGCAAGCGCGAGUUCCUCCGCUACCUCCACUCCUACACCGCGCACUUCUCCAUCUCCCCGCUGUUCGGCCGCACGGUCACCCGGGCGCGGUUCGACGAGGCGACGUCGAUGUGGCGUGUGACCGCGGCGGCGGACGGCGGCGAGGUAACGGAGUACGUGUCCAAGUGGCUGGUGGUGGCCAGCGGGGAGAACGCGGAGGCGGUGGUGCCCAGGGUGAAGGGGAGGGAGAGGUUCGCCGGGGAGGUGCUGCACUCCAGCGAGUACAAGAGCGGAGAGAGGUUCAAGGGCAAGAGGGUGCUGGUGGUGGGGUGUGGCAACUCCGGGAUGGAGAUGUGCUUGGACCUGUGCGAGCAUGGUGCCAUCCCUUUCAUGUCAGUACGGAGUGGCGUGCAUGUUUUACCAAGGGAGAUGCUGGGAUCCUCAACGUUUGGGAUAGCCAUGAAGCUGCUGCGAUGGCUGCCGGUAAAGCUGGUGGACAGGUUCCUCCUCAUAGUUGCAAGGAUGAUUCUAGGGGACACCGAGAAGUACGGGCUGAAGAGGCCCAAGCUGGGGCCUUUGGAGAUCAAGGAGGUGACCGGGAAGAGCCCUGUCCUGGACGUGGGAGCAUGGUCCUUCAUCAAAUCCGGAGACAUCAAGGUGGUGGCAGAAGUGGAGUCAUUGGGCUGCAACGGGGCGAGGUUCGUGGACGGCAACGAAAUGGCCUUGGAUGCCGUCAUCUUCGCCACCGGCUACAGGAGCAAUGUCCCGUCAUGGCUCCAGGACGACGGGUUCUUCACGGAGGACGGCAAGCCCAAGGCCCGGUGCCCCAGCAACUGGAGAGGCCCCAACGGGCUGUACUGCGUCGGGUUCUCCGGCCGGGGCCUGCUCGGCGCGGGCGCGGACGCGCUGCGUGCCGCCGCCGACAUCGCCGGGAGUUGGCAAGAGGAGGAGACGGUGGCAGCUGGAGCUGAAGCGGCCACGAUCUCCCCAGUGUGA